CGUUCCCGGGUCUUGUACACACCGCCCGUCACACCAUGGGAAUUGGUUCUACCUUAAGCUGGUUGCCUAACUUUAUUGAGGGCGCCAACCACGGUCGGGUCAGUAACUGGGGUG
rnacentral:rRNA from 1 species